UGGAGAGGCAUCUUCGCGAGGGGUCCAGCCUAUGUUCCUUGGAACAGGGCGUCACAGAGGGUGAGAAUCCCGUUCGUGGCUGGAUACUCCUUGUAGUAUGUAGUGUCUUCAAUGAGUCGAGUUGUUUGGGAAUGCAGCUCAAAAUGGGUGGUAAAUUUCAUCUAAAGCUAAAUAUUGGCGAGAGACCGAUAGCGCACAAGUAGAGUGAUCGAAAGAUGAAAAGCACUUUGAAAAUAGAGUCAAACAGUACGUGAAAUUGUUGAAAGGGAAGCGCUUGAGAUCAGAGUCAGCCUUUGACAAACAACAUUCCUUCUGGAUAGUGCACUUGUUAUUGGCUGGGCCAGCAUCAGUUGGG
rnacentral:rRNA from 1 species